rnacentral:tRNA from 1 species
GGUGGUAGAGCACUUGCCUGGGAUGCAGGAGGUCUGGGUUCAAUCCCCAUACCACCA